GGAUAACACCUGGAAACAGAUGCUAAUACCGGAUAACAACACUAGACGCAUGUCUAGAGUUUAAAAGAUGGUUCUGCUAUCACUCUUGGAUGGACCUGCGGUGCAUUAGCUAGUUGGUAAGGUAACGGCUUACCAAGGCAAUGAUGCAUAGCCGAGUUGAGAGACUGAUCGGCCACAUUGGGACUGAGACACGGCCCAAACUCCUACGGGAGGCAGCAGUAGGGAAUCUUCCACAAUGGACGCAAGUCUGAUGGAGCAACGCCGCGUGAGUGAAGAAGGGUUUCGGCUCGUAAAGCUCUGUUGGUAGUGAAGAAAGAUAGAGGUAGUAACUGGCCUUUAUUUGACGGUAAUUACUUAGAAAGUCACGGCUAACUACGUGCCAGCAGCCGCGGUAAUACGUAGGUGGCAAGCGUUGUCCGGAUUUAUUGGGCGUAAAGCGAGUGCAGGCGGUUCAAUAAGUCUGAUGUGAAAGCCUUCGGCUCAACCGGAGAAUUGCAUCAGAAACUGUUGAACUUGAGUGCAGAAGAGGAGAGUGGAACUCCAUGUGUAGCGGUGGAAUGCGUAGAUAUAUGGAAGAACACCAGUGGCGAAGGCGGCU
rnacentral:rRNA from 1 species